GACCAGAUAUAAAUUAUAAAUAUCACUGGGAGGAGGUGUUCUGGGCAUGUCCCACAGAGGGGCUGGAGGAAGUGGCCUGGCAGAGGGAAGUCUGGGCAUCUUUGUGUGACAGACAGGGCUGUGGGUGGUGGUUUGUCCCUCAUGGUGUUCCAUAGAUGAACAUUCAUGGCCAGCACCUGUCUGUUGAGCUGUGAUUGGCUCACAAGGCUGAUAAAUAGCAGCAGUGGGAGUUCCAUCUAGGUGCUGGUUUCCUGGUUUGGCCUUGGUGGUGGCAUGAGAUCUGACCCUGGGGCAUGAGAGUAUCUUGGUGUCUGGACCUGGCUGAAGGUGGCUGCCUCCUCCUUUUAUCCUUAUGGUAGCUGGUACUCCUGGUGAAAGUUGGAUCAGAGAUCUCCCUUGGUGGUGUUUGUGGCUACCCGCCAGUGCAGUGAGGCUGAGUCGAUCCAGGAG